AUGGAUCCAGCAGAGGUGCUCAAUGUCAGGUUUCACUAUGGAGGGGAGUUCAUUCAUAUUGGGACAACUCUUGAUUAUGUUGGGGGAGAUAGUGCAAUGUCAGUGUUAGAGAGGGAUAAGUUGUCACUGCCAGAGCUUAGAGGAUUUUUAGCAGAUCAUAUAACAACUAAAGAGAGCAUGAAGUUAUUUUUUCUUAUGCUAGGGCGAGAGUUGGUUAAUGGACUAUUGUUUUUAUACACUGAUGAAGGUUGCAUGAAGAUGUCAGAGUAUAUUACAGAUGGAGGGGUUGCUGAUGUGUAUGUGGAGUACAGUGGUGAGCAAGAUGAACUAGAGGAAGAAGAUAGUGGCUCUGAUUUUGAAGAAGAUGAGCUGAAUGUCAUGGUGAACAAUGGCAGUGAGGAAGAACCAGAUGUAGUUAUCACUGCAGAAGAAGAAGACUUUUUCAUACAAAUGUUCAGCAAGUAG
rnacentral:rRNA from 1 species